rnacentral:rRNA from 1 species
UACGUAGGGGGCAAGCGUUGUCCGGAAUCAUUGGGCGUAAAGCGCGUGUAGGCGGCUCGGUAAGUCCGCUCUGAAAGUCCAGGGCUCAACCCUGGGAUGCGGGUGGAUACUGCCGGGCUCGAGUCCGGAAGAGGCGAGUGGAAUUCCCGGUGUAGCGGUGAAAUGCGCAGAUAUCGGGAGGAACACCAAUGGCGAAGGCAGCUCGCUGGGACGUGACUGACGCUGAGACGCGAAAGCGUGGGAGCAACAGG